rnacentral:rRNA from 1 species
UACGUAGGGGGGCAAGCGUUGUCCGGAAUCAUUGGGCGUAAAGCGCGUGUAGGCGGCUUGGUAAGUCCGCUCUGAAAGCCCGGGGCUCAACCCCGGGAGGCGGGUGGAUACUGCUGGGCUCGAGUCCGGAAGAGGAGUGUGGAAUUCCUGGUGUAGCGGUGAAAUGCGCAGAUAUCAGGAAGAACACCUAUGGCGAAGGCAGCUCUCUGGGAGCGGUACUGACG